rnacentral:lncRNA from 1 species
GGGCUCUACCUUAACUCCAACAGCAUUCUCAGGCCUCAAUUUCCAACAAGCAUAGUGAUAGGAAGCUAUGGAAUUGAAGGAAGAAAAGAGGAAGAAUGAGAGAGAAUGAGAGAUGUUACUCAAUGAUGGAGUAUUGUAGAGGGGAAAGGAGGUGCUCUUAUAAAAGAGCUCUCUCCUUACGGGUGGCCAUUAUUUUCCAACUCGCAUCCAAAGUCUUCAGAGAG